rnacentral:rRNA from 1 species
GAUGAACGCUGGCGGCGUGCCUAAUACAUGCAAGUCGAGCGACCAGACGAGGAGCUUGCUCCUCUGACGUUAGCGGCGGACGGGUGAGUAACACGUGGAUAACCUACCUAUAAGACUGGGAUAACUUCGGGAAACCGGAUCUAAUACCGGAUAAUAUAUUGAACCGCAUGGUUCAAUAGUGAAAGACGGUUUUGCUGUCACUUAUAGCUGAUUCCGCGCCGCAUUAGCUAGUUGGUAAGGUAACGGCUUACCAAGGCAACGAUGCGUAGCCGACCUGAGAGGGUGAUCGGCCACACUGGAACUGAGACACGGUCCAGACUCCUACGGGAGGCAGCAGUAGGGAAUAUUCCGCAAUGGGCGAAAGCCUGACGGAGCAACGCCGCGUGAGUGAUGAAGGUCUUCGGAUCGUAAAACUCUGUUAUUAGGGAAGAACAAAUGUGUAAGUAACUAUGCACGUCUUGACGGUACCUAAUCAGAAAGCCACGGCUAACUACGUG